rnacentral:rRNA from 1 species
AUUGAACGCUGGCGGCAUGCUUUACACAUGCAAGUCGAACGGUAACAGGCCGCAAGGUGCUGACGAGUGGCGAACGGGUGAGUAAUGCAUCGGAACGUGCCCAGUCGUGGGGGAUAACGCAGCGAAGGCUGCGCUAAUACCGCAUACGAUCUAUGGAUGAAAGCGGGGGACCGUAAGGCCUCGCGCGAUUGGAGCGGCCGAUGUCAGAUUAGGUAGUUGGUGGGGUAAAGGCUCACCAAGCCAACGAUCUGUAGCUGGUCUGAGAGGACGACCAGCCACACUGGGACUGAGACACGGCCCAGACUCCUACGGGAGGCAGCAGUGGGGAAUUUUGGACAAUGGGCGCAAGCCUGAUCCAGCAAUGCCGCGUGCAGGAAGAAGGCCUUCGGGUUGUAAACUGCUUUUGUACGGAACGAAACGGCUCUGGUUAAUACCUGGGGCUAAUGACGGUACCGUAAGAAUAAGCACCGGCUAACUACGUGCCAGCCGCCGCGGUAAAAC